rnacentral:rRNA from 1 species
UACGAAGGGGGCUAGCGUUGUUCGGAAUUACUGGGCGUAAAGCGUGCGCAGGCGGCUGCUCGAGUCAGGGGUGAAAGCCCAGAGCUCAACUCUGGAACUGCCUUUGAGACUGAGUGGCUUGAGUACGGGAGAGGUGAGUGGAAUUCCCAGUGUAGAGGUGAAAUUCGUAGAUAUUGGGAAGAACACCGGUGGCGAAGGCGGCUCACUGGCCCGUAACUGACGCUCAUGCACGACAGCGUGGGGAUCAAACAGG